ensembl:lncRNA
AUUAGCUCCUGAAGACUGCGAAUGCAGUGGGAGAACAAAGGACACAGGGAAAUGCUACUAAGAUAAAUGGAAGCAAAUAGUUUGUCUGAAGGAGCAUUGGAAAGGUCCAUGAUUUGUCAUCUUUCCGUGGAUCUGCUCUCCUUCGGAAGAAGUGCUCAGGAAGAGACAAGAAGUGUUCCUUCUUUCAUGCUCCUUCUGCAUCUACCUCUGGCUACAGAAACCAGUUUGUAUGCGAAGCCCAGGGAUGUAGGUCGGACCCCACGUCUGCACAGCCCUAAGGACAACCGGAGCCGGGCAGUGUGGCUGCCAGGCACUGCCCACGUGCCCCGCUGCUCCGGGGUGAACCGUGCGACCACCCUAGCACGUCGCCUGGCACCCGCUGCACCGUGGCCAGCCCUUACAGACCUGUCAGGAAAAUAUCUGCACACUGUGAAAUGCAACAGGUGAGGAGCGCUCACCCACUGUGGAAAGCUUUGUUUUUAAACACUAAAGCACGCUUCAGUUGGCUAAGGGAGUCUGAGGGGGGAACAUGUUUGACCAUGUAGCACCGCCAGGGUUAACCAAUAUUAGCAGGUGGAAAAUUAGUUUUAUUUAGGCUGUGCUGGCAGGUGGGUCCGAGCCUUGCCGUGCAGGGGCUGCACUGAUGGCUGCCUCCAGGCCAGGGCAGGCGUGGGCUGUUGCCCUCCUGCUGGGUCCCGCCGCGGAACUGAGGAGCGCAGCUCCAGUCAAAUAGUCACUACAUUCCCAAAUGGGUGGCUGCAGUCAUGGUCAGACAGUUUCUCUGUAGCUGGAUACUUGGGAAGAGGUCGCAGUGAGCUGCCUAUCUUGCUGAAGAGCAGAAGGGCUGCAAUGGGAAGGCACACAACAGGAGGAGAUAUAUAUAUAUAGAUAUAUAAGAGAUAUAUAUAUAUACACACACACCCCAUCAGGCACUGUCUCCACCGAGGUCAGUAAUCCCUGCCUUUAUACAGGGUGAAUAGAUUGAAGCAGCCACACCUUAACCCCAGACCUGACACUAAUGCUUUCUUCUGCUUGCCUAAAUGCUCCCUGAAGUCUGAAUUAGUAUUUCUUUUCUAAUCCGCUUGCUAGAGUUGAUGUGCAAUGUUAGUACCUGUGUGUUCAACCAAAAGAGUGGCUGCAAAACAGUGGAGGCUAAAUGAUCACUUCCUACCUCGCUGAGAGGUUUUAGGAGGUUUAAUCCAUUAUUGUUAAAUCCUCAGAGGAAAGAAGGUGUAGAAAAAAGGAGUAUUAAUGUCAUCAUUGCAACUGCCUGUCAGUGUCACAACAUUAAUUAAAAGCAAACAAUUCAAAUGUCAGCUCUCACAUAAAAAUAGUUUAAAUAUUUUCUUUAUAGUUUACAAGAGGAGAUAAUUCUGCUAGGCACACAUACUGAGAUUUUUGCCUUUUCACUGGCGUAUCACAUUGCUUUACAAUGUGCUGUUCGUGAUCUGGUCUUCAGGAAAUCAUCUUCUUGUGAGGAAGACCUGGCAGACUUGUAGCUCCACAUACACGGCGGAGGCUGGAGGGUGCCCUGUCUGCCAGGAUGCCUGGGUAUUUGCAAUGGCAGAGGAGGCUCAGUGCCUUGGAAUUGGGAGGCUGCCAACAGUGGGUGGCCACUGCCUCAGUGUUGGCCUCCCCGGGGUCUCCCCGCUCCGUUUGCUCGCUGCUGAGGCCCGUCUGGGUUCCGUGCCAGAGCCUGGCUGCAGCCGGGGCUGGUGGUUUGGGUUUGCUUGUUGCAGAGGACCAGGUAUAACGAGCUGCCCUUGAUCGAGGUCUUGCUGCAUGCUGUGAAGGUGAUCUGCCUUCCUAUCGCUCCUGUCCUUCCUCCCAUUCCCAUAUUUUGGGAGCCUCUCCAGGGAAUUCAUAAUUUAGGGCUUGCGUCCUGCUCUCGAGGGGAACACCCUGAACUCACAGCAAACAUACACUGAGCUGAAGUUGCUUUAAUUUGAACAGCAGCUGCGAAUAUCAUUGCUCAGGCUGUGCCCCAGCAGAAGCCUUGGAAGCCAGUCUGUGAUUUUAAGGUUAUAGCUACUUCCUUUCCAGCCUGCACAACCAAACAGCCGGGAUGGAAAAGGAGGAGAGGCCACAGAUUAAUUUCUUUUUGUUACCUUUACCGUCGCUCUCCAGCAGCUCUCCAUGGGUUCCUGUGUGCUGUAGCUGUUCCCAGCUGCUUGCUGUGGGUUCUUUGGUACACAAACGCACAGAAAACUUCUCUUAAACUUUCGCUUCUCUGUGCCAUCCUUGCUGGCUAUAUUGCACCAUGUUGUCUCUUAAAAUCCCUUCUGCUUGAAACACGUGCCCUGUGGCAAGGGUGGUGGCAUUACCCCCUGCUCAGCAGCGAGACGCUGCUCAGCCUCUCCUCCAGCAAAGUGAAACCUUCACUGAACCAGCUGCUGGAUACAGAGAGGACGGGUGACUAGCCACCCUCCAAGUAAAAAAUUAGUUCAUUAAUAAGGCACUAGAUUUCCAACAUGCCUGUGUUGUUUUUGGGGCUGCUACCUGCUUUUGCUUUUCUAUCUGAUAAGCACACGUGUGCCCUCAGAGCUGGGUGGGCAGGGAGAAGAGACCAGCGCAUUUAGGACAACAAACUUGCACCAAGGGUGUUUGAGCAGCAAAGGAGCCAUCGUUUCUGAAAGGAUCAGCCAAAUAAAACAUGAAACUUUCUUUGCCCAAGAUCAAGUAAAAUAAUAAGCAAACAGGUUGGUCAUUACCAGGAAAUCUCUGCUUGGACGAGACCAUCUUCCAAGCAGAAGAAUCUCAAAAGGGAACCAGCAGCAGCAUCGCUCCUGGAGUAACGCUUGGACACUGGAGAUCUCCCCUGGAAAGAGGAGGAGGUACCCAACAGGCAUUUUUCAUUACUAAUAUCUAGGAACCUUGAAUCACUUGAAGAUACAGAAGCCCCAAUGUCUGGAGGAGCUGAAGAACUAGGCAAGAAAUACUAGGUGAGAAACAUUAUGGUAUUAAUUGUCCCACUAAAUCUCCCCCCCUCCGCCAGGUCUGGUAUUUGGAAAAAGCCAUGGUCCUCAGAAGAGCGCCUUCCCCCUUCACCUAUUUGAGUGGAUUUCUGCCUAUGAAAAGGAACAAUUUACCUGGAGGAAAAGUUACACUUUCCUGCCAUACCCAACUGUGUAUAAGCUCCAGCACAGAAAUGCAUCUACAGAUUAUGGGGCAGUUGAAGACCCACUAUCUCUUAAAUCUUUGAAGAGAUUACUAGAAGGAGAGUUAAAUCGAUCUUCUGAUUAAAACUGAAUACUGCUCAGUAGCUGAGCUCCACUCAGUGGCUGUGGCAAAAUGAACUCCUGUGGAGUCACGGGGGCAAAGGCAGUGUGGGAGCUUGCACUGCCCACGUCUGACCUGGGAAGCGGUCUGUGACCAUGGAGCGAUUUCACAUUGUGCCCAGCUGCUUUCAGAUGACUUGUCAGUAACUUCUAGUGUUUUACCUCUUGGCAGCACCAACAAUGACAUAAGUUACUGGUUUGCAGCAUCCCUUGCAGGUACAAGACGGUGAAAAUGGAAAAUAAACAAAAGUAUUAAUAAUGGCUGUGAAAAUUUAACUUUUAUUAUCUGUUCACUGUAUACAAAACACCAUUCUGCAUAGUGAUAACUCAUUUGUUGUACAGUUGACAGUGCACAUCAACAAACAAGUGUUCAAGAGGUAUACACUUAAUGGAAAGGGCAGUGAUGGCCAGUGUACAUUACACACUAAGAUCCUGCGACGCCAGCUGUAUGUUUUAGGAUGGAGAAGUACCUCAUAACCACUCAAUAUGUGAGUAAUAUAAAUGGGAUAACAAGCAUUUACCAAUGAAACAAAUUAAGAAUGAGGAUAAAGAGAGAGCGCAGAACUAAUGUAUCUGAUACACAAUGUCCAGAGUGAUUAAGAAGUUUUACAGAGGUGGCUGAGAAGGAUCUGUAUUUUUUCAAACACUUCAAUUUUUCAAACUGUUAAAAUUUAAUGAUAAAUAACAGAAUCUCACAAAUCUUUAGGGGCAAACUGCUCCACAUUUAUUUACAUAUGAAAUGUGUUUAAUACAGUUGUAAUGGACAUAGUGUAUAGCAACAUCUGACAGCAGCAAGACUUUUAAGGAACCAAACAAUUACUACUUUAUAUCAUGCAGCUAUCUAUAUAUACACAAUUUGUUUUAAAAAAAAGUACAAAAAUUUUGUUUUAGGGAUACAUACAAGGUAUAAAAUGCAAAAAGAAACCAAAAAUAUAACUCUCACAGAGAACUAUAUAUGAAAGGGACAGUAUGGUACCUUUUUGUACUUUGUGAAAGCGUAACUAGUGAUAUUAGAUACACGUUUGAAAUGGCUGAACUAGCUUCACAUGGUCUGUGCUAAAGCUGAAAGCCCCAAUUAUACUUACAUAGGCUGGUGUGUUAGCUUCUUGACAGUUGUGGUUGUAUGUGACACUGAGCACCAGAACAUUUGGCAUUAGCAUACAGAGCUGGGAAAUACCAACCCCUGUAGCGAGGGUUAACUAUUUUCUUUCAAUAACCAGAAAUAAAGGAAAAUACAUAAUGCUGUGUACUUGCUUCUAUAUAAUGUUUAAUAAAUUACAUGACAAAAAACAUCAUCAUUAUAAACCUAUUCCUCUAAUUACAUCUUAUUUGUUAAAUCGAGAGCAGCCCAGCCCUUUUGUAACAAUUUGAGCUUUGAUCACAAGCACCUGAUGGCCUAAAAAAAAUCACUUCAUGAUACAGAGUUGUGCAAUUAUACUUUUCAAAAGUACUUUAUCAUUCUAGGGGGUCUGCACCUGUUCUGGUGUCGCCACCUAAAACCAGCACUGCAUUAUUCAUAUGCAGUGGUACUUUUUUUUCUUUUUUUUUUUUUUUUUGUAAUAUAUAUAUUUUUAAGAGAAAGUUUAAAAGCUUCCUUAGACAUUUAGAAGCACAAGUUCUUAGAAUUUAAAAUCUCCCCUUAGCUUGCUUCCCCUCCCCACUCCCCUCCAAGCACUGCCUUCUGAUGCACUUCCAUUAGCUAAACUUUCUUUCAGAAGCAUUCAAAUAAGAAACAGUUUAAGAGAACCUAAGGAACUGCCCCAGCAUUCAGAACUCUGUUUUAAAGAAACUUACUAGAAAAAAAACAGAAACAAAACAGAAAAAAACAAUUUUUCCACUAGAUACCGAUACAAACACAUAACAAAGAGUAUAAAAGUUAUUAGUUUAAAUAUAUACAAACUCUUUUCAACUCAAAUACUGCUUCAAUGGUUUUGAGGGUAUAGACAAUGAGGUGAAGGGGACACUUUUAUGCAGAAUAUAUUGCAACAGCCUGAACAGUACUGUUAACACUAUUAUACCUUGAACUUUCUGUAGCAAAAAUGUCAUUAGUAUUCCAAUGUGGAGAGAGAUUU